GUUAAUUAACAAGGUGUGUUGUUAACUUUCUGUGUUUUUUUCCCAUCCAUGUUUCUUUAGCCAGCAAUGGCGAUUGGUUUUAUAAUUGGAGCGUCUGACCUACUUUUUAACUGGUGGCAGUUAUGCAACGCCUGCAGGGGGCGACACUGUGUUCUCUCAGCUGCCUGACCCAAAGUUUCUACCUUUUUUUUUAAAUGAGAAAUUAGCAUUUACAAGUAGUUCAGUGCACAUGUGGAAAUGUGCAAGCUGCUUAGGUUUAGUUACCAAAAUCUACUUUAUGUUAAUUAUCUAAAAUUUGUCAGAAUUGAACAUAUGACUGGAUUUAAGAUCAAGCAUUGUUCUCACUAAACAGCAGGGCAAAUACCAAGAUCAAAAUAAUAGUAAUCAUAAAUCAGUUAGCUAUAGAAUAAGUCAGGCCAUCUGACCACUGAGCUGUGUAUUGUAGAUUUAUAUCUAUAAACCUUCUUUCAAUCUUUAGCUAGCAGCCUCUCAACCUCCAGGGGAAAAAGAAUGACCUUCUGUUUGUGGUCUCCUUCUGUUUGUGGUCUGUCAGUAAUCCAAUCACUUUGUCCUGUCAAGAAGUGUGUCUAGUGUUGCUCAUCAAUUAUGAGAAAAAAAGGGGUGAAAACCAGGGUGUAGUUGGCAAGGACUUGCUGUACUUUUGAUUCCAGCUCUGCGCAGCCAGCUGCCUGUGUCUGCAUCUGACCUAAUUUUGCCUACAAGGCCCUGUAUUCUGACCUGUUUAUGUAAGGGAGUUUUGGAGAGGGUGGGAGUAGGGGGGUGUUGGUGCAGACAAAAAAGGGAAACCAAAUUAACAGACUUAUUCUUCAUCCCAGAGGAUAAAAAAGCAAUGAAGAAAGUCUUCAGAUACAGUCAGCAGUGUCACGACUGUGUUGUUGUGUAUGGUCCAGCCAAAGCCUGAGAGAUUGCAGCGUUCCAGCAUUAUGAAUCAAAACGUUGGCUGAUUUUCCUCUCCUGGUCUCUCACUUCCUACGCUGAUGGAGCCGGCGUGGGUGUUCGUUUUGGCGUUUUCUCUCAUUUCUCAACAUGCUGCGAAGGCAGCCGGGGAGUAAACACAUAUGCUCAGAUGACACUCUUCGCCAGCCCACAGUCUGGCCCUGUUUCUUUCUCUGUUGCUUGGGGAAUCAAGAAAUGGCAGCAGAGCAUCUUGCACUCAAACACUCAUUGACUGAGUGGUAAACCUUUGAACUGUGUUAUAAAUCUCACUAAUGAGGACAGCAGAGUUUGUGUAAAAGCUCACUUGUUGCUUUGUUAAUCAUUGGCAGUAUCUCAAUAUAAAACAGGUUGAUAAAACAGGCCUGUUGACAGCGUUCUUGGCUUUUUCAUUAAAGAGCCCAUCUGUUUGUCCUAUUUUUACAUGACUUACUAUCCACAAGAAGCUAGAGACCUAAGACUUAUCCCAGCAACAUGCUGCCAAAAGAUGCACCUCGUUUUGAAAAGUUCUGCACUAUAUGCAUUACAGCGUUUUUAAUAUCAACACUGUUGCACUGUGUUCAAACUUUAUCCUGAUUUGACAUUUUUUUCAUGUGUAUCUUGUGUAUUUAUCUAUAUGUAUUUUAGGUAUGCACAAUGAUAUUGGAAUAAUAUCUGUAUCAGACAAAAAAUUAUCUUUUUAAAACCAUUGGCGUCGGCCUCUACAUAUAUCUACAUAUUCCUAAGAACACUUGAAAUUAGUCCUGGGAAAUAUACAAAUUAGUCUGUUUUUCAGAAUCAUUUGAAGCACCUUUAUUUUUUUAACAAUGUGUUGCCAAUUUGGAGGCUAUUUGUGUGGAAACAAGAUUAAUAGAGUAAACAGCCUUGUGGUUCUACAUGGUUACACGAUGUGCUGACCCAGGUUUCUCCAUUAGUCACAUGGGGUCACGUUUCAGCCGGACUAAUAGAAGAGAACACCCGGAUAAAGACAGCCUUCUGUGGACUGGGAAGAGGAUUUACAUUAGCCUUUGUGUCAGGCAGUUAUAAAACGCUACAGCAGCCGUAGGGAGCUGGUCUCAUUUUUGAUGACCUGGAUUUCAGGUGUACAAUAGCACCUAAGAAUAGACUGUUCUUUAUGAGCGAUAGGUCUUAGACACAGAAUUGAUUUGUCUGUUGCUUGGAGAUGGUUUAUUUUUAUGGGCCAUAUAUACAGUAGACAAAAGAAAAAAUGAAUAAAAAUGUAUUUGAUUAAUUUUGCCAUGCGUUGAAAACCUAUUUUUCAUCAGUUUAAGACAGUUUUUUUUUUCUCUUGCAGUAUUGGUAAUGGUAUAAGCUUCUAGGUCAUCUGUAGCAAGAACAGCCUUAUUAGGACGGGAAUGUAGCGACAUUUUUGUUUGUGGGCAGAAUUCUAAUCUACCAGGGUGGGGUUUUAGCUUUCAGUGUCUGACUUAGGAUGCCAUGACCCAUUAGUUGAUAUUCUGCAAUGGUGGACACAGAUGGAGUUACGUUAAGUACUGACGGCUAACCCGGAAAUCCUGCACCUGCCAGCCUAGUUUUUAAGCGGCCAUACAUCAGCCACAGUGGUUGAAAUUUGGGAUGCUCAGCCAUAUUGAUCUGUUUUUGUAUUGGCUUAACUGCCUAAUGUUGAUUUUCAUAAUUUAAACUGAUUAUUUUUGUUAGAAUUUCUUGGUAUAUUAUGCAGAUCAUACGGUAUGUUGCUGUAUGCGAGAGGUCAAGAUGCUGCAGUUCCUUGUUUAGCUGAUAGAUGGCGUGAGCAAAGCCAGUGUUGAAAUCUUUGUUUAAUGUUAGAGAAUCUGAGCUUAGCAGUUUAGCUCCAUUCACCCCUAUUCAUUUCAGACACACUCGCAGGCUGCCACUAGCGGUAUGCAGUCAUUUUUUGCUGAUAUUAUGGCAGAAAGGGGGCGUGUAGACUCCUCAUUAGGUCUGCCACAAUAAGAAUUAUUUGUGGACGAUAUAUUGCCUCAUACAUGAACACAGUAAAUUAUAUGUGUCAUUUUAAGACCAUUAAAUGCUACUGCUAUAAUAAUGAUAAGAUGGAAAUAAAUGAUGCUCUUUUUAAGACAAAUCAUUUUAGAUAAAUAAUCAUAAAUUCAAAAAUAUAUAUUUAAUUCACCUACUGCAGUCCGGACUGUAUAUGUGGUCUAUUGUACUAUUGGUCAUUUUACGACUAGCUGCAAUACUGUUCACUGUUAUAUAUGUUAACAAACUAAUAAACACAAUAGACAAUAUUAUGAUUAUCAAAUAUUAUUGCAAUAAUGUCUAGUUAGUUGAUAAUGUAAUUAUCGUGACAGGACUAUGCUCCAACUUCUGUGUUUUGGCAGUGUAUGAACGAUCUUUCGCUUUGGAACAGUCGUUUAAUGGACGAGAAAUUCGAUUUAGGCUCUAAAACAGCUAUUUUUGUCAGUCUUUCUUUCUAUUUGUUUUUUUUUUUCAAAUGUAUCUGACCCAAACUAGCAAGGCAGAGAAAGCUGGGAAAAUGCUUUUAAAGACUCACCAGUAACUAGUUACCCCUCUUCAGUGCAUCACUGUGAAUAUCACUGUAAAAACACUGAUUGGUCCAUCUCUGGUACUGAUACUAUUGGAUGUACAGGAAUCAAACAAAUAAUUCCAAAAAAGUUAGUUGUACUAAGGGUGCACAAUGAUAAACAAGAUAAAGGAUGCUUAAUUUGACAGGGGGAUGAUAAUAAGAGCAAAGUAAGUUUAAUUACAUGUUCUAUGAUUAAUAUUAAUACACAUCUAUGCAUCAGUUGUGUACUAUUACUGCAUUUUCAACUCUAGACAAAUAAAGGUCACUUCAUAAAGCUGCUACUAGUUGAAUCUAGGUGCCAUUUCUGCAUGUUAUAAUGUUUAUAUGUUUGUGUAUUAGCAGACAGUAUAUGAGAAAUGUAGUGUUUUAUAUAUAUUUUAAAGCAUUCUAAAAUUAUAACCAAACCCAUUCUUUUAUUUUUGCCCUGUUGAGUCCCUUAUGCAUGCCCUACUUUAAUUGGGACAUUUUAUGUAACAGACCUAGUUUAGUCAGACUGUUAUAUAUGCCCUGCUUUGCUAGCUUAAUAGCCUUUCUGCUAAGCUUGCCUGCUUGCUGACAUUCAUUUUCCUUAAGGAAAUGGUUCAACCAGACUUAAUGUUUAAAUCUUUAGCAAUGUUGACUGUAUUUUAUUGACUGGUUUAGAGGGACAGCCCUGUUAAUCUCUUGCUGUGUUGUGUGUUGAAUGCCGGUUCACCUUGUUCUUGGUGAUUGCUGCAUCAAGGUUCAGUAACAUUUCUUUCACAUAUUUUGAAUAUUGUAUUAUUACAAACUAAUGGGCUUUUUUAUAACUAAAAGAGGAAAGGAGAGGAAAUUAUUUUGAGCAUUUGCUGUUUAAUGCUGUUCUGACCUGCUAGACGUCAGAACAAUUAAACUAUAUAAUAAUUCAUUGUGUGUACAUAGGGCUGAGCUAUACAUUAAAAAUAUUAGCACUAUAUACUAAUAUACAGCACUAAUUAGGUAGUAAAAGUUUUUUAAAAACUAACAUUUGAAAAAAAAAAAAUACAAGUUACUUUUACUUUUUUUUUUUUUUAAAUAUACUGCAGUUAGGCCUGUUACCAUAGCUACUUUUGAUAGGAUGACAUUUUGUUUGGGAAAAAAAUUCUGAAUCGAUGUUAUUGUAAUUUUAAAAA